GGAUGCGAUCAUACCAGCACUAAAGCACCGGAUCCCAUCAGAACUCCGAAGUUAAGCGUGCUUGGGCGAGAGUAGGACUAGGAUGGGUGACCUCCUGGGAAGUCCUCGUGUUGCAUUCC
rnacentral:rRNA from 16 species